rnacentral:rRNA from 1 species
UGGGGAAUUUUGGACAAUGGGGGCAACCCUGAUCCAGCCAUCCCGCGUGUGCGAUGAAGGCCUUCGGGUUGUAAAGCACUUUUGGCAGGGAAGAAAAGGCUCUGGCUAAUACCUGGAGCUGCUGACGGUACCUGCAGAAUAAGCACCGGCUAACUACGUGCCAGCAGCCGCGGUAAUACGUAGGGUGCAAGCGUUAAUCGGAAUUACUGGGCGUAAAGCGUGCGCAGGCGGUUUGGCAAGAAGGAUGUGAAAUCCCAGGGCUUAACCUUGGAACUGCAUUCUUAACUGCCAGGCUAGAGUAUGUCAGAGGGGGGUAGAAUUCCACGUGUAGCAGUGAAAUGCGUAGAGAUGUGGAGGAAUACCGAUGGCGAAGGCAGCCCCCUGGGAUAAUACUGACGCUCAUGCACGAAAGCGUGGGGAGCAAACA